GUGGGGAAUAUUGGACAAUGGGCGAAAGCCUGAUCCAGCAAUGCCGCGUGAGUGAUGAAGGCCUUAGGGUUGUAAAGCUCUUUUACCCGGGAUGAUAAUGACAGUACCGGGAGAAUAAGCUCCGGCUAACUCCGUGCCAGCAGCCGCGGUAAUACGGAGGGAGCUAGCGUUGUUCGGAAUUACUGGGCGUAAAGCGCACGUAGGCGGCUUUGUAAGUUAGAGGUGAAAGCCUGGAGCUUAACUCCAGAACUGCCUUUAAGACUGCAUCGCUUGAAUCCAGGAGAGGUGAGUGGAAUUCCGAGUGUAGAGGUGAAAUUCGUAAAUAUUCGGAAGAACACCAGUGGCGAAGGCGGCUCACUGGUCUGGUACUGACGCUGAGGUGCGAAAGCGUGGGGAGCAAACAGGAUUAGAUCCCCCAGUAGUCC
rnacentral:rRNA from 1 species